rnacentral:lncRNA from 13 species
GUGAUCUGAGUACCCUGAGCUCAUCCCCAAAGAGAUGAACUUGCUCCCAAUAGCAUAGCCAUAUAGGAAUGGUUCCAGGGCUGGCACUUCAGCCUCAGUCUUAUGUCUAUUCAUCCAGGGUUGCUUCAGCCCAGGAGGCAGAAGUUGUAAUGAGUCAAGAAUGUGCCACUGUACUCCAGCCUGGGCAACAGAGUGAGAUAUCAUCUCUAAAAUAAAUAAAAAGUUAAAAAAAAAGGCCAGUCGCAGUGGCUCACGCUUGUAAUUCCAGCACUUUGGGAGGCUGAGGCAGGCAGAUCACUAGGUCAGGAGUUCAAGACCAGCCUGGCCAACAUGCUGAAACCCUAUCUCUACUAAAAAUAUAAAAAUAGCCAGGUCUAGUUGUGGGUGUCUCUAAUCCCAGCUUCUCCAGAGGCUGAGGCUGAGGCUGAGGCUGGAGAAUCACUUGAAUUGGAGGCGAGCCAUGGGAAGCACUGGGACAAGAGCAGCAACAAGAGGCAUCUCCGUGUAGCCAGAUGUUCAAGAAUGACUCAGAGGCCCACCCUGAGCAAUCACUUCAUGGAGGAAGAAGCCCUAUCUCCUUGAGGCCUGGGUCGGGCCUCUGAGCUGCCCAGAGGCCUCAUGGUGGGUGUUGGCUGCCAGUUGCAGUGCCUGUGGCCAUACUGAAGGACUCCUACCUGGAAGUGAUGCUGCAACCCCUGGAGGAGGUGUGACAGGAGCGGAUAGAGGAGGCCAUUUGGUGGCUACAGGCCUGGGUGCCCAGCCUGCCAGGCAACCAGGGUCCCAGGCCCAUCAGGGUGACCCUGAGGGCCGUGAAAGGCACCCUGGAGCUGGUGGCUCACCAGAUGCUGUCCUGGGCUGAGGCCACAUUCUCACAGGCACUGAAGGGGCUCUGCAAACCCCUGCUGGACAUGUAUGGCCUCACAGCCAGUGGUGUGAUCUCAGCUCAUUGCAACCUCUGCCUCCUAUGUUCAAGUGAUUCUCCUGCCUCAACCCCCCAAGUUGCUGGGACUACAGACCAUGCCCUGGUGGCUGGGGCCCAGCACGUGGUGACUUUUGAUGGCCUGGUGUGGGACUUCAGCAACCAGUGCAGCAGCAUCCUCCUGGCCCAAGACUUCACUCACAACACAUUCUCACUGAUGCUGAGUUGGACAGGCUUGGGGCUCAUGGCCUUGACCGUGAAGCUGAACCAUGUGACCCUCCACCUUCUACUCCAGCCUGCAGGGGAUAGCUGUCCAGACCUCCAGCUGCCUUUUGCCACGAAAAGGAGGGAUGUCCCCAGGAUUAAGCUAACCAGUGAGGACAGGGUCUCCAUCUCCUGUGACAUGCCAACCGGCCUCUGCAGUCUGACUCUGCACCUCUGGCACCAUGGCAUAUCCGCUGGCCUUCUGGACACCAAUGACAAUGAAGCAGGCACUGAUCUAAUGUUGCUGGAUGGCUUGAGUUUUGCGUCUGUCCCACCAGGUGGAUGGUGA